GACUGAUAAGGGCACACAGCAACGUGCUCUUCUGGAGGGAUUUUCUACACUAUUCUAGAUCUUCAGUUAUAUUGGAAGUUCAAAAGCGGCUGUCUCUGUGAAACCUCUGCUAUGGAGCAGCCAGGGCCAACAGGGCAACCUGAGGCCCAGGCCAAACCUCAGAGCUCUGCGUCCUCUGACCAGGUGUCUGUCAGAAGUCUUCGACUUUUAUUUGAACGUCCUGCUGAUGGAAGG